UACGUAGGGGGCAAGCGUUGUCCGGAUUUACUGGGCGUAAAGAGCGCGCAGGCGGUCGUGCAAGUCGAGUGUGAAAGCCCCCGGCUCAACUGGGGAGGGUCACUCGAUACUGAUCGACUUGAAGGCAGGAGAGGGAAGCGGAAUUCCCGGUGUAGUGGUGAAAUGCGUAGAUAUCGGGAGGAACACCAGUGGCGAAGGCGGCUUCCUGGCAUGUUCUUGACGCUGAGGCGCGAAAGCUAGGGGAGCAAACGGG
rnacentral:rRNA from 1 species